AAGUCGUAACAAGGUUUCCGUAGGUGAACCUGCGGAAGGAUCAUUAACAGUGCUUUUGUAUGCAAAUACAAUCCCACUACAAACCCUGUGUGAACCGUUUUGACUACCCAUGUGUGAACCGUUUUGACUACCCAUGUGUGCGGGUACCCAGGAAUGGGUAUGGCUGCACACAUUUUUUACCCACCCUGUCCUUAUGAUACUGAAUAGUAAAGCUUAGUUGAAAAACUUGCAAAACUUUUAGCAAUGGAUCUCUAGGCUCUU
rnacentral:misc_RNA from 1 species